GAUGAAGAACGCAGCGAAAUGCGAUACGUAAUGUGAAUUGCAGAAUUCAGUGAAUCAUCGAGUCUUUGAACGCACAUUGCGCCCCCUGGUAUUCCGGGGGGCAUGCCUGUCCGAGCGUCAUUGCUGCCCUCAAGCACGGCUUGUGUGUUGGGCCUCCGUCCUCCUCCCGGGGGACGGGCCCGAAAGGCAGCGGCGGCACCGCGUCCGGUCUCGAGCGUAUGGGGCUUCGUCACCCGCUCUUGUAGGCCCGGCCGGCGCUUGCCGACACAUCAAUCUUUUUUCCAGGUUGACCUCGGAUCAGGUAGGGAUACCCGCUGAACUUAAGCAUAUCAAUAAGCGGAGGA
rnacentral:misc_RNA from 1 species